AUUGAACGCUGGCGGCAGGCUUAACACAUGCAAGUCGAACGAGUGGCGGACGGGUGAGUAAUGUCUGGGAAUCUAGCUUAUGGAGGGGGAUAACUACGGGAAACUGUAGCUAAUACCGCGUACCAUCGGAUGUGCCCAAGUGGGAUUAGGUAGUUGGUGGGGUAAAGGCUCACCAAGGCGACGAUCUCUAGCUGGUCUGAGAGGAUGACCAGCCACACUGGGACUGGGAAACGGCCCAGAAUCCUACGGGAGGCAGCAGUGGGGAAUAUUGGGCAAUGGGGGCAACCCUGACGCAGCCAUGCCGCGGGAAAGAAGAAGGCCUUCGGGUUGUAAAGUACUUUCAGGCGGGAGGCGUUACCGACAGAAGAAGCACCGGCUAACUCCGUGCCAGCAGCCGCGGUAAUAC
rnacentral:rRNA from 1 species